rnacentral:rRNA from 1 species
GACGAACGCUGGCGGCGUGCUUAACACAUGCAAGUCGAACGGAAAGGCCCCUUUGGGGGUACUCGAGUGGCGAACGGGUGAGUAACACGUGAGUAACCUGCCCUUGACUUCGGGAUAACUUCAGGAAACUGGGGCUAAUACCGGAUAGGAAUCCUUGCUGCAUGGUGGGGGUUGGAAAGCUUCGGCGGUUUUGGAUGGACUCGCGGCGUAUCAGCUUGUUGGUGGGGUAGUGGCUUACCAAGGCUUUGACGGGUAGCCGGCCUGAGAGGGCGACCGGCCACAUUGGGACUGAGAGACGGCCCAGACGCCUACGGGAGGCAGCAGUGGGGAAUAUUGAACAAUGGGCGGCGGCCUGAUGCAGCAACGCCGCGUGCGGGAUGACGGCCUUCGGGUUGAAAAACGCUUUCAGCAGGGGCGAAGCUUGUGGUGACGGUACCUGCAGAAGAAGCACCGGCUAACUACGUG